ensembl:lncRNA
UCUGUCUAAGUUUGUCAUGGAGAAGGCAAUGGCACCCCACUCCAGUACUCUUGCCUGGAAUAUCCCAUGGGCAGAGGAGCCUGGUAGGCUGCAGUCCAUGGGGUCAAUAAGAGUCGGAUAUGACUGAGUGACUUCACUUUCACUUUUCACUUUCAUGCAUUGGAGAAGGAAAUGGCAACCCACUCCAGCGUUCUUGCCUGGAGAAUCCCAGGGACAGGGGAGCCUGGUGGGCUGCCGUCUAAGGGGUCGAACAGAGUCAGACACGACUGAAGUGACUUAGCAGCUUAGCAGGUUCUGCCUAAGGGCAUCUGUGGUCCUGUCUCCUGCUGUGUCUUCAGUACCUAGAGAAGAACCUCCUUUCUCGACACCAAGGGACGUCCAGCUGUGCCCGUAACAGCUCCUCACAAGGUCACUCAGAUUCCUUUGGUAGACAUUUUUAAGAGGAAUGGUCCAUGAGAGAAGAUGUUUAAACCAACUGGCCUACAAAAGAUUAAAACCAUGUCCUUGGCUUCAGAUUGUGUGGUUUGUUCUCAAAGCUGCAAGGGACAGAGACUGAUCUGAGCCAGCUUAAAGGAGGAGGGUAACAUCGGGGUUCAGAGGAAUCCUGUGUGCUCCAGGCCCUCGGGACCUACCGCCCGGCUCCUCGUGGUGGGAACCACAGGGUCCGAACUGACAGCCACUGGAAGUCACUCUGACUCCCUCACUGGUCCUUGAGCCAAGUUCCCGGGAGGACCCCUGGCCGGUGCCCCCCACUUCCCCAGGACCUCAGCAGGGGGUUCAGAGUUCAUGGAGGUGAGAGGGGCUUCUUUGCUGGUAUUUGGAUGGGAGGACACACUCCAGCUUGUUGUCCCAUGCAGACCCCUAACUGUUUACUCUGGACAUGCUCAAGCAAAGUCCCUUAUCCGUGACAUCGUGUAAUUGUGGGGCCCAUCCUGAGACUUUCCUCAAAGGGGUGAAAACCUGAGCCCAGGCCGAGUGUGAGGGGGGCUCCUGCUCCCUCAAAACCUUCAGGGGUGAGGUGAAGCCUUUCUCUGUCUCGCAGGGUUGAGGGGGUAAAAUUGCUAAGAGGUGUCCCCAGACUGGACACCGUCUGGGUAUACCCACACGGUGGCAAACCUGCUGCCAUUCCAUCCCAGAAUGUAGACUUUUACUCUGAGCUCGAUUUGAAGGGUCAGGAGUUCCUGCUAAUGAUUUAAAUAUACUUCCCUUUGGGAUGUCCUUCGCAGUCCAGUGAUUAGCGAUGGGCGCUCCGACUGCAGGGGGUUCGGGUUCUAUCGCUGGUUGGGGAUCAGGUCCUGCAUGCUGCAUGGCCAAAACCAAAUUGUAAAGAUAUGUCCCUUUGAGAAAGAAGAAAAAGAUUUUUUAAAACAAUUAAACAAAAAGCAACAACAAAAUAAAGAUAUUCCCCUUUGAGGGUAAUGAC